CAGACAGGUAGACACACACACACACAGACAGGUAGACACACACAGACAGGUAGACACACACAGACAGGUAGACACACACAGACACAGGUAGACACAGACAGACACACACAGAGACCGGUAGACACACACAGAAACAGGUAGACACAGACAGACAGGUGGACACACACACACACACACACACACACAGACAGGUAGACACACACACAGAGACAGACAGACACACACAGACAGACACACACAGACAGACACACACACACAGAGACAGGUAAACACACACAGACAGACACACAGAGACAGACAGACACA
ensembl:lncRNA